rnacentral:rRNA from 1 species
AUUGAACGCUGGCGGCAGGCUUAACACAUGCAAGUCGAGCGAGCGGCGGACGGGUGAGUAAUGUCUGGGAAACUGCCUGAUGGAGGGGGAUAACUACUGGAAACGGUAGCUAAUACCGCAUACCAUCAGAUGUGCCCAGAUGGGAUUAGCUAGUAGGUGGGGUAAUGGCUCACCUAGGCGACGAUCCCUAGCUGGUCUGAGAGGAUGACCAGCCACAAGUGAACUGAGAAAAGGUCCAGAAUCCUACGGGAGGCAGCAGUGGGGAAGAUUGCACAAUGGGGGCAAGCCUGAUGCAGCCAUGCCGCGUGGGUGAAGAAGGCCUUCGGGUUGUAAAGCACUUUCAGCGAGGAGGAGUUACUCGCAGAAGAAGGACCGGCUAAAUCCGGGCCAGCAGCCGCGGGAAUUC